GACGAACGCUGGCGGCGUGCUUAACACAUGCAAGUCGAACGGAAAGGCCCUGCUUUUGUGGGGUGCUCGAGUGGCGAACGGGUGAGUAACACGUGAGUAACCUGCCCUUGACUUUGGGAUAACUUCAGGAAACUGGGGCUAAUACCGGAUAGGAGCUCCUGCUGCAUGGUGGGGGUUGGAAAGUUUCGGCGGUUGGGGAUGGACACGCGGCUUAUCAGCUUGUUGGGGUGGUAGUGGCUUAGCAAGGCUUGGACGGGUGGCAGGCCUGGUAGGGUGACCGGCCACGUCGGGACUGAGAUACGGCCCAGACUCCUACGGGAGGCAGCAGUGGGGAAUAUUGCACAGUGGGCGGAAGCCUGAUGCAGCAACGCCGCGUGCGGGAUGACGGCCUUCGGGUUGUAUACCGCUUUCGCCUGUGACGAAGCGUGAGUGACGGUAAUGGGUAAAGAAGCACCGGCUAACUACGUG
rnacentral:rRNA from 1 species